rnacentral:lncRNA from 13 species
UGUGGUGGACAGUAACCAGUGGUGUAAAGUAAAAUGAAUUGAAAGUACUACUUAAGUAUUUUUGGGGGGGUAUCUGUAAUUUUACUUCACUACAUUCCUAAAGAAAAUUAUGUAUUUUUUACUCCAUACAUUUUCCCUGACACCCAAGAGUACUUGUUACAUUUUGAAUGCUUAGCAGGACUGGAAAAUUGCCUAAUUCACACACUUAAUUCACACAUCAAGAGAACAUCCCUGGUCAUCACUAUUGCCCCUGAUCUGGCGACUCACUAAACACAUGCUUCGUAGGUUAAUGAUGUCUGAGUGCUGGAACAUGCCCCUGGCUAGCCGUAAAAAAAAAAAGAAGAAAGUUAUGCUGUCUGGUUUGCUUUAUAUAAGGAAUUUGAAAUGAUUUACACUUUUACUAUUGAUACUUAAGUAUUUUUAAAACCCAAAAACUUUUACUCCAGUAAUAUUUUACUGGGGGACUCACUUUUACUUGAGUAAAUUUCUGUUAAGGUAUCUUUACUUUUACUCGAGUAUGACAAUUGGGUACUUUUUCCACCACUGGUAGUAACCCCAAUGUAGUUGUUGUUACUGACCUAAGUCCAGUGGUCUCUGGUGAGAGCAACAGCCAGUUAGUUGUAUGUUUCAAUUCCUCCGCUUUCAUAGCCUUCUCACUUUCAUACAGCUCGUGUAUUCUUGUAACGACUGUGACACGUGAACGACUGUGACACGUGAACAUAACUCAUACUUUGAGUCAUUCGAUGCUAUCCAAAUGAUAUCCCUCAAGCCUUCGUCCUCCAAAAUGCAGACAGGCCUCCAAGCUGUAGCUAUCCGCUUGGCUGUUGCUUGUGUUAGCUUGCUGCUAGUCAACUUCUCCAUAGGCCUCCUGCGCGCACCCUAGCCUGCCUCCAUUACUACUAGUAACGUUACUAGUAUUGCCAGUGUCAACAGUAUGUUUCUGUAAGACCCGAUGCUGGAGAAGAGAAGCAGGCCUGAGGCUCUUGGACAGAGACUGAGGACACCCUGGCUUGACACCUGGAUGUGCCUGGCCCAAUUCUGGCCCCGCUUUACCUACUUCCGGACUGUUGCUGCCCCCACUGUUUCUUUCUCCCCCUCAAGUUGCUGACUCCCCACACACCCAGAAAUUUGGAUUCCAUUACUUACCAUGACAUCUUUGUGAAAAGCCAUCUGACAAUAGGGUCUUGAAGUGUUAGAACUUCCUCUAUAGUCAUUAUGGAUAUUGUCUGAGCUUGCAGGACAUUAAUAUUGGUAUUGCUUUUCCUUAUUGAAAUUGUGAAUAAAGGAAGACUGCUUUCAUUUUCACUUCAGGCACAAUGAAUACAUUGUUGGAUUGAAUGUAUGCAUUUAUACGGUCUGUAUCUCUGUACUACAGCAGUUCAAAUAAGGAUUUGUGCAAACUGGAAGUGUCUUCUCUCCCCAAUGAUUUCAUAAGGCUGAGGAAAUAUGUCAGUUAUCCCAUACCAAGGCUAGAUGAGGCUGAAUGACCACUAAUUCAUCUAAUUGGUACAUGACUGUUCAGUCUGUUGAAUAUUCCAUCAAAACGUGCAUUUUUGGGGGGC